rnacentral:rRNA from 1 species
AGUGAACGCUGGCGGUAGGCCUAACACAUGCAAGUCGAACGGCAGCACAGUAAGAGCUUGCUCUUCCGGUGGCCGAUUGGCGGACGGGGGAGGAAUACAUCGGAAUCUACUUUUUCGUGGGGGAUAAGGUAGGGAAACUUACGCUAUUACCCCUUACGACCUACGGUUGAAAGCGGGGGACCUUCGGACCUUGGGCGAUUGAAUGAGCCGAUGUCGGAUUAGCUAGUUGGCGGGGUAAAGGCCCACCAAGGCGACGAUCCGUAGCUGGUCUGAGAGGAUGAUCAGCCACACUGGAACUGAGACACGGUCCAGACUCCUACGGGAGGCAGCAGUGGGGAAUAUUGGACAAAGGGCGCAAGCCUGAUCCAGCCAUACCGCGUGGGUGAAGAAGGCCUUCGGGUUGUAAAGCCCUUUUGUUGGGAAAGAAAAGCAGCAGGUUAAUACCCCGCUGUUCUGACGGUACCCAAAGAAUAAGCACCGGCUAACUUCGUG